rnacentral:lncRNA from 1 species
UUCAAAUGUCAUACUACCAGUAUGAAAAGGAUCAUUGCAUGUCUUGAAAAUAUUUUUGACUUAUUAUAUAUUUUGAAAAAGGAACCUGAAACAUCCAUGUAGUGUAAGAGUUGUGUUUUGUGAGGGCCUUUACUUUGCUGGCACUGUUAAAAACAAUGCCCUAUGACUUAGUUUUUUUGGUGAUUACUUAAACCCCCGGCAAAGGGGGAGCCAAAAUUGUUCGAAAGAACAACAUAGAAGUGAAAAUUAUAGUACUUCAUUGAAUUUCAAUUUUAUUGGACCCACGUCUGGAUGUUGUUACAACUGAAAUUUAUUUUGUAUAAUUCACAAAUUGAAGUGUGAGCUCAAUUAUAAAUUACUGAAUUGCCCACACCUCCACUCCUUGUGGUCUCCUCUGGGAAUAAAAGGAAAACUGACAUCUAUGUCCCUACAUCUUGUGUUUCCCUGGUGCCCUUCACACGCUGUUAAAUUAUUAUCUUUUUAACUUCUUUAGUAGGGAAGGAUGUGUACCUUAUACCUGUAUUGCUACCAUAAAGUACUACGUCAAACAUUCGGUACCUGGACAAUAGUUAGGACACUUGUCCGGGGUCUUACAUUCAUUGAGGAGUUUGAAUUAACUAUUGCAUAUGUACUUGAAUGUGCAUUUGAGAGGUGCCAGGGUCUUACAUUCAUGGAGGAGUUUGAAUUAACUAUUUGAUAUGUACUUGAAUGUGCAUUUUGAGAAGUGUAUUACACUGGGACGCCGUUGACCAUAAAAAUGAACAAAAGGGUUCAAAAAUAUGAAUAUUUUUACAUGCCUUGUUCAGGGUAUGUUAAGGAAUCUAUGACCAAGGAUUCCGUUUCAUUUCUCUCUUCUUUGUAUUUCGAUUAUUCUUUGAUCCCUCUUCUUUGGCACUACAAUAGAUCAAGAAAAUCACGCGAGAUGAGUUUAUUAGAAAGUUGAGAUUGAUAGUAGGGGAUCAGCUGUUGAAGUCAUCUAUAAUUGGUCUCCAAUCCAAGGUAAGACCUGACACAUCCCGACUCUUGAAAUUAUUUUUAGUUAAAUGUUCUUUCUCCCCACCCACAAAAAAAAAAAAUUGGAAAAAGUAAAAAAUAUCAAACUACUUUCCAAUUUGGAAAUGAAAGGGGUGCAGUCUUGGAUGACGGUCUGCAUCGUUAGAUGAUUCCACCAAUAAUGCUUGAAGGUUUAUGGAACAGCGAGGAACUUUUUUAAAACCUAAUGUUCAAAUGAAAGGAAUGCGGUCUUGGAUGACAGUGCAUUGUUAGAUGAUUCCACUGAUAACGCUGGAAGGUUUUUGGAGCAACGAGGAACUUUUUUAAACCUAAUGUUCACCAUAAGUACCUUUCACAUAUUUUUGGGCUAAGUUUACAUUAUGCAAUUCUUAAACCUUUAUUAUGAUAAUGUAUUGAUAAGGUGGUGUUAUAUCUUGGGAUCAAAACGACACCAGCAAUUCAUUUGUCAGAUUGUUCUACUUUUUAAUUUUGAUAUCCAUUCUUAUUUUUUGGACUGACCCUUUUUGGCUUGUACAUUAGUGUUGUGGGAACAAAUUCUGGAUGUUAUAAAAUUGUCACGGUCUUGGAAAUUUGAAAUUUCACUCUGUAUUUUGCUGGUUAUUUUUGCAGAUUCUGUUUCAAAUGUCAUACUACCAGUAUGAAAAGGAUCAUUGCAUGUCUUGAAAAUAUUUUUGACUUAUUAUAUAUUUUGAAAAAGGAACCUGAAACAUCCAUGUAGUGUAAGAGUUGUGUUUUGUGAGGGCCUUUACUUUGCUGGCACUGUUAAAAACAAUGCCCUAUGACUUAGUUUUUUUGGUGAUUACUUAAACCCCCGGCAAAGGGGGAGCCAAAAUUGUUCGAAAGAACAACAUAGAAGUGAAAAUUAUAGUACUUCAUUGAAUUUCAAUUUUAUUGGACCCACGUCUGGAUGUUGUUACAACUGAAAUUUAUUUUGUAUAAUUCACAAAUUGAAGUGUGAGCUCAAUUAUAAAUUACUGAAUUGCCCACACCUCCACUCCUUGUGGUCUCCUCUGGGAAUAAAAGGAAAACUGACAUCUAUGUCCCUACAUCUUGUGUUUCCCUGGUGCCCUUCACACGCUGUUAUCAGCAAUUGGACAUUAAUGUUUAAGACAACAAAUAAAUUUUUCAACUCGUUCGUUUUUCUUGCUUAAUGCUUUUUAGUGUCGUCCAAUUCAAUAUACCAAACAUGUAAGUAUAGCCAAGGAUGACAUUUUUGUUCAUGGACUGUCAGUACGGUGCCUAGGUUUCUCAUGCAACAUGGUUAUUGAACUUGUCAUAAGCACAAACAUAGUACUUUGCGGUGGACAAUCUUGUCGCGUGGACGACUUGCCUGCCUUGUGCUAUUGUCGUCGAGAUUGCAUUUAGCCACAUGCAACUCGAGAUGCAGAUUUAUUUGGAGGUCAUGUUAGACAUUCUCUUUAACUGUUUUAUUAUUUACUUUUUGCAGCUAAUAUUUUUGAUAAAUUUACUCCAAAUGUGUGUGAUUUCAAACAUGGAAUUUGUAUGGAAAUAAAAUAAAUUCUAGGUAAUUCAAUUGUUUAGAAUUUAUUUGCAUGAAAAUUAUCAAUUAAAUCUGUUUGAUUGAUUUAAUUUUCAACAUAGAAAAUGUUAUAUUUGUUCAUUUUUAUUGGCGGGUAAAUAAGAGAGAGAAUUUCCUAAAAAAUAAAAUUCUUCUCCUUUUAAAGAAAAUAUGGUCACAUGAUCAAAAGUAGAAAAAUAUUUUUUAUGGAAAAAUGACAAUCAAACAGACAAAAGUAGGAAUUUUAGUAGAAAAACAUGUUUUUAAUGAAAAAUAAUGACAAUCAAACGUACCUAAUAUUAUUUUUUGAGAUAAUUUCAAUGCUAGUUAGGCCUUUAAUUAUAUUGACAAAAUUGUUAGAUGGUUGAGCUAGACACGCAGCUUGUGCAUUCCCGGACUAAAGGGGCGCGUAUUUUAAACGAGGGCUUAUGUACCAUCGGUGCACUUAUUUUGAAAUAUGGAGAAAACUAAUUUAUACUCUAUUUUGUAGGUUGAGGAUCGGAUUGUUACUAUAUCAAUAGAUGCGGGGACAGAACAUCAAAUUUGCCCCAGUAAGCACUGGUGUACUUUCAUGAAAGAAAAUAGUAUUAUCUAGCUACAUUGUCAAUUUAGAUCGUUCUAAGUGAUAGGUUUGAUGAAAGGUAAAAUAAGUGAUUCAUUUAAUAAUACAUUUCAUUUAAAGUUAUAUUAGUAUUAAUUAAUUGGUGUUUUAACACUACUGG